rnacentral:snRNA from 1 species
UGCUCCGGGCGUCGGCCU